rnacentral:rRNA from 2 species
GGGUUGUGAGGUUAAGCGACUAAGCGUACACGGUGGAUGCCCUGGCAGUCAGAGGCGAUGAAGGACGUGCUAAUCUGCGAUAAGCGUCGGUGAGGUGAUAUGAACCGUUAUAACCGGCGAUUUCCGAAUGGGGAAACCCAGUGUGUUUCGACACACUAUCAUUAACUGAAUCCAUAGGUUAAUGAGGCGAACCGGGGGAACUGAAACAUCUAAGUACCCCGAGGAAAAGAAAUCAACCGAGAUUCCCCCAGUAGCGGCGAGCGAACGGGGAGGAGCCCAGAGCCUGAAUCAGUGUGUGUGUUAGUGGAAGCGUCUGGAAAGGCGCGCGAUACAGGGUGACAGCCCCGUACACAAAAAUGCACAUAUUGUGAGCUCGAUGAGUAGGGCGGGACACGUGGUAUCCUGUCUGAAUAUGGGGGGACCAUCCUCCAAGGCUAAAUACUCCUGACUGACCGAUAGUGAACCAGUACCGU